CCUACGGGAGGCAGCAGUGAGGAAUAUUGGUCAAUGGGCGGAAGCCUGAACCCGCCAAGUAGCGUGCGGGAUGAAGGCCCUACGGGUCGUAAACCGCUUUUGCACGGGGAUAACACCCUACACUUGUGGAGGUCUGCAGGUACCGUGCGCAUAAGGGCCGGCUAAUUCCGUGCCAGCAGCCGCGGUAAUACGGAAGGACCGAGCGUUAUCCGGAUUCAUUGGGCUUAAAGGGAGCGUAGGCGGGCGGUCAAGUCAGCGGUAAAAUCGCGCGGCUAAACCGCGCCCCGCAGUUGAUACUGGAGGCCUUGAGUGCACAACAGGCAGGCGGAAUGCGUGGUGUAGCGGUGAAAUGCAUAGAUAUCA
rnacentral:rRNA from 1 species